GAUGAACGCUGGCGGCGUGCCUAAUACAUGCAAGUCGAGCGAACAGACGAGGAGCUUGCUCCUCUGACGUUAGCGGCGGACGGGUGAGUAACACGUGGAUAACCUACCUAUAAGACUGGGAUAACUUCGGGAAACCGGAGCUAAUACCGGAUAAUAUAUUGAACCGCAUGGUUCAAUAGUGAAAGACGGUUUUGCUGUCACUUAUAGAUGGAUACGCGCCGCAUUAGCUAGUUGGUAAGGUAACGGCUUACCAAGGCAACGAUGCGUAGCAGACCUGAGAGGAUGAAAGACCACACCGGAACUAGAACACGGACCAGACACCUAAGAAGAGAUGCAGUAUGGAAUAUCCCGCAAUGGAGGAGAGCCUGACGGAUGAACGCGGGUUGGGUGAUGAACUUCUUCGGAUCGAGAAAUUCUCUUGCUAGUGAAUAACAAGUUUUGAUCAUACGAAACACGUCGUGACGGUACCUGAGCAUGAAGCCGCGGCUAACUACGUG
rnacentral:rRNA from 1 species